UAGACCGUGUGCGGGAGCCAAGAAGAUUUUAAAUUAUCUUGCUGAGAUAUGGAGUUGAUGCCAGGUGGACACAUGGAUCGAUCGCAUGAUUGAUCUGUGUGUGGAUGACUCUCAACCGUUCGAACUUGAACAAGUUAAUGCUUGCGAAAAGGAACAUGGUUGGCUUUGGA